UACAGAGGUCUCAACCGUUGUUCGGAUUCAUUGGGCGUAAAGGGUGCGUAGGCGGCGGAGUAAGUCAGGUGUGAAAUCUCGGGGCUCAACCCCGAAACUGCACUUGAUACUGCUUCGCUCGAGUACUGGAGAGGAGACUGGAAUUUACGGUGUAGCAGUGAAAUGCGUAGAUAUCGGGAGGAACACCAGUGGCGAAGGCGACUACCUGGCCUGUUCUUGACGCUGAGGCGCGAAAGCUAGGGGAGCAAACGGG
rnacentral:rRNA from 1 species